AUUGAACGCUGGCGGCAGGCCUAACACAUGCAAGUCGAACGGUAACAGGAAGCAGCUUGCUGCUUUGCUGACGAGUGGCGGACGGGUGAGUAAUGUCUGGGAAACUGCCCGAUGGAGGGGGAUAACUACUGGAAACGGUAGCUAAUACCGCAUAACGUCGCAAGACCAAAGAGGGGGACCUUAGGGCCUCUUGCCAUCGGAUGUGCCCAGAUGGGAUUAGCUAGUAGGUGGGGUAACGGCUCACCUAGGCGACGAUCCCUAGCUGGUCUGAGAGGAUGACCAGCCACACUGGAACUGAGACACGGUCCAGACUCCUACGGGAGGCAGCAGUGGGGAAUAUUGCACAAUGGGCGCAAGCCUGAUGCAGCCAUGCCGCGUGUAUGAAGAAGGCCUUCGGGUUGUAAAGUACUUUCAGCGGGGAGGAAGGGAGUAAAGUUAAUACCUUCGCUCAUUGACGUUACCCGCAGAAGAAGCACCGGCUAACUCCGUG
rnacentral:rRNA from 1 species